UACGGGAGGCAGCAGUGAGGAAUAUUGGUCAAUGGACGCGAGUCUGAACCAGCCAAGUAGCGUGCAGGAUGACAGCCCUAUGGGUUGUAAACUGCUUUUAUACAGGGAUAAAGUAGGGAACGUGUUCCCUUUUGCAGGUACUGUAUGAAUAAGGACCGGCUAAUUCCGUGCCAGCAGCCGCGGUAAU
rnacentral:rRNA from 1 species